AGGACGAACGCUGGCGGCGUGCUUAACACAUGCAAGUCGAGCGGAAAGGCCUUUCGGGGUACUCGAGCGGCGAACGGGUGAGUAACACGUGAGUAAUCUGCCCAUCGCUUCAGGAUAGCCAUCGGAAACGGUGAUUAAUACUGGAUAUGACAUUCCUUCGCAUGUUGGGGUGUGGAAAGUUUUUUCGGCGGUGGAUGUGCUCGCGGCCUAUCAGCUUGUUGGUGGGGUAAUGGCCUACCAAGGCUUUGACGGGUAGCCGGCCUGAGAGGGUGACCGGCCACACUGGGACUGAGACACGGCCCAGACUCCUACGGGAGGCAGCAGUGGGGAAUAGUUGGACAAUGGGCGAAAGCCUGAUCCAGCCAUGCCGCGUGUGUGAAGAAGGUCUUCGGAUUG
rnacentral:rRNA from 1 species